GAUGAACGCUGGCGGCGUGCCUAAUACAUGCAAGUCGAGCGAACGGACGAGAAGCUUGCUCCUCUGAUGUUAGCGGCGGACGGGUGAGUAACACGUGGAUAACCUACCUAUAAGACUGGGAUAACUUCGGGAAAACGUAGAUAAUACCGGAUAAUAUUUUGAACCGCAUGGUUCAAAAGUGAAAGACGGUCUUGGUGUCACUUAUAGAUGGAGCCGCGCUGCAUUAGCUAGUUGGUAAGGUAACGGCUUACCAAGGCAACGAUGCAUAGCCGACCUGAGAGGGUGAUCGGCCACACUGGAACUGAGACACGGUCCAGACUCCUACGGGAGGCAGCAGUAGGGAAUCUUCCGCAAUGGGCGCAAGCCUGACGGAGCCACGCCGCGUGAGUGAUGAAGGUCUUCGGAUCGUAAAACUCUUUUAUUAGGGAAGAACAUAUGUGUAAGUAACUGUGCACGUCUUGACGGUACCUAAUCAGAAAGCCACGGCUAACUACGUG
rnacentral:rRNA from 1 species